GACGAACGCUGGCGGCGUGCUUAACACAUGCAAGUCGAACGGAAAGGCCCUGCGUUUGUGGGGUGCUCGAGUGGCGAACGGGUGAGUAACACGUGAGUAACCUGCCCUUGACUUUGGGAUAACUUCAGGAAACUGGGGCUAAUACCGGAUAGGAGCUCCUGCUGCAUGGUGGGGGUUGGAAAGUUUCGGCGGUGGGGGAUGGACUCGCGGGUUAUCAGCUGGUUGGUGGGGUAGUGGCUUACCAAGGGUUUGACGGGUUGCCGGCCUGAGAGGGUGACCGGCCACAUUGGGACUGAGAUACGGCCCAGAGUCGUACGGGAGGCAGCAGUGGGGAAUAUUGCACAAUGGGCGGAAGCCUGAUGCAGCAUGGCCGCGUGCGGGAUGACGGCCUUCGGGGUGAAAGCCGCUUGCGCCUGUGACGAAGCGUGAUUGACGGUAAUUGGUAAAGAAGCACCGGCUAACUACGUG
rnacentral:rRNA from 1 species